rnacentral:lncRNA from 1 species
CAUGCGAUGUUGAUAUGAAUGAGGAAUGUUACCUGGUUGAUCGAGCCAAUAGUCAUUGAACUUCAAGAAGAAGUCAAUCAUGACAACUAUAUUGGUCCAGAAGAGUGUUAAGGCUAGCCAAGAAUUUAGAUUCUUUCAGGUCAUUUUCCAUUCAUGGAAAUUUUGUUACUAUAUCUCUCAAUUUAGGGUAUGCCAACCCAAAAGUGUAAAUCCACAACAAAGUUGGGGUACUCGGCUAUAUGAAUUCUUAUCUUACCUUUAUUAUGUGCUUCUUCA